AUGGUUCAGCUUUGUGCUACCAUGCAAGGGGAGAGAAGCCUGACUGAAGUGCCUGUGCCUGCGGAAAUUGAUGCACUAAUCAGUGAGUUUGGGCACCUGUUCGCAGAGCCAAAGGGACUACCACCUCAGAGUUCAUUCGAUCACACCAUACCCCUGCUUCCGGGAGCAAAGCUGGUCAAUGUCCGUCCAUACCGUUACAGUCUAGUUUAA
rnacentral:rRNA from 1 species